UACGUAGGGUGCGAGCGUUAAUCGGAAUUACUGGGCGUAAAGCGUGCGCAGGCGGCGCGUUAAGACAGGUGUGAAAGCCCCCGAGCUUAACUUGGGAAUUGCGCUUGUGACUGGCGUGCUGGAGUGUGGCAGAGGGGAGGUGGAAUUCCACGUGUAGCAGUGAAAUGCGUAGAGAUGUGGAGGAACACCGAUGGCGAAGGCAGCCUCCUGGGCCAGCACUGACGCUCAUGCACGAAAGCGUGGGGAGCAAACAGG
rnacentral:rRNA from 1 species